rnacentral:tRNA from 1 species
CCCGCCCCUCAGUGAUAGAACGCUCCACUUGUGACGGAGAGGCGACGGUUGGAUCCCGUCAGGCGGCUCCA